rnacentral:piRNA from 1 species
AAAUCAAACGUUAGUCGUUACGCAG